CGGGGGGGGAUGGAAGAAAGGCAAGUCGACGAACGAGCUUGCUCGUUAGUGGCGGACGGCUGAGUAACGCGUGGGUGACCUGCCCCGAAGUGGGGAAUAACUGCCCGAAAGGGUGGCUAAUACCGCAUGUGGUGAUGCGUUCAUUCGCAUCAGUAAAGCCGCAAGGCGCUUCGGGAGGGGCCUGCGUCCGAUUAGCUCGUUGGUGGGGUAACGGCUCACCAAGGCGACGAUCGGUAGGUGGUCUGAGAGGACGAUCACCCAGACUGGGACUGAGACACGGCCCAGACUCCUACGGGAGGCAGCAGUCGGGAAUUUUGCGCAAUGGACGAAAGUCUGACGCAGCAACGCCGCGUGAGGGAUGAAGGCCUUCGGGUUGUAAACCUCUUUUGUCAGGGACGAUGAUGACGGUACCUGACGAAUAAGCCACGGCUAACUACGUGCCAGCAGCCGCGGUAAUA
rnacentral:rRNA from 1 species